UUUAUCUUUUUCUUAUUUAUUUUUGCUACCAAAUACAAAUAAUGGAUUUCUUUCUAUUUCAAUAUUCACCCUUCGUUUUCUUCGAGGAAAAAAAAAUAAUAAAACACCAAGUCUGUGUUGUAACUUGUGAUGCACAGUCACCAUCUCCAUCACCUAUCAUCACUUAUACGAGACGACGGCGGCGGCGGCGACUUGACUCGCUCGAACACCAAAACCAAAAUAAUUUUAAAAUCUUUCCUUUUAUUCCUGAAUAAAUUACAUAUAAUCGACUUUCGACAGGGCUGUAUUGUAAUUGUGUUUUGUGUAUUAUUUAAGACAGGAAGGAAGACUUACCGUUAUAUUUGCGUGAAUAUCAUAACGCUUUCCAUUUUUACCGAUAAAACGGCAAGUCAACUCAUCCACACUAGAGUUGAGUAUUUGGAAACGUUCAUGAUUUCUGUUAAAUAUUUUUUCAAGAGUUUUUAUUUCUAAUUUUAAAGUAUUCAAACACGCCAUGUUCCAACAGUUUACAAUAAACUGCUGUUCCUGGUGGUGCUGUGCUGCUGCUGCUGCUGCUUUGUGUACUCAAAGUACUCUUUUUUAUACUUUUAUUUGCUUUCUUCUGACUGAGCUUCCGACCUUUCCAGAUGGAGGAAUAUCAAACAGAAAAUAUUCUUUUUUGGAUUUGGUCUGAUUCUGUAUUUACUUGUUUUCACACUGACAGCACUAUUAUGGUGAAGGGAGAAGGGUAAGAGAUAACAAAUUGAAUAAUAAAUUUAUUUGAAGAGCUCGAGUUAUUUUUAAUGGAUUUUUCUUUCUUGUGCUUUUCAAUCAAUUAUUUUUUCCAAAUAUUAAUUUUCAUUUUCACUGCAUAAUAGCACUUUUGCCAGCACUACCAAUUAUUUUCACACGAAACAAAGACAAAACGAAAACGACCACUACUGCAACUGUUCAAGCAGUCAGACAACAGCAGAACACAGAAACAGAACACACUACAUGGAAAAGAUAAAAGAGGACAACAUCUAGCUCGGUGGUGGGACAAAAAUAAAAUACACCCUAUUUAUCUGCUUUUGAGCAAGAAGGCCAGCAUCACGUUAUUUAAGCCAUAGAAGAAUGAGAUAGCAUAGUUGUUCUUGUAAUACAAUAGCUAGUAGUUUUUUGUUGUUGGCGUAUUACGGAAAGUCUUUUACCUUUUCACACCUCUUUAAGAAUUUGGCUGGGGAAACGAGAAAACGUAAAGCUUGUUGUGAAACAAAAACAAAUCGCAUUAAAGGACGACCGUAUAGACAUAAAUUCAUAAAGUUGCAAUUUUGCAAGAUGAAUGUUUAAGGUUUGUACGCAAUAAACGCGACAGGGAGACGAUACAGAUGCAGCAAACAUCGAAUCAGACUUGGAAGCUUGACAACUGUGUAGAAACCGCCAAAGCGGCCGAAUAAUGAAUAUUAAAGUUUGGAGCAAGACCCUAGAAUUAUGGAGUUUUCCAUGGGCAAAUUUAGAUUUCCGUGAUUUUAUUUCGCGGCGCUGGGAGCACGAUUGGAAUUGUUUUUGUUUGUCAUUUUAUUAUUUUAACAAGUGCGAUAGAGCUGUCAAAUUUAAAGCUGCUCUAAUAACUCUGUUUUUUGUUAGCAAUAAGAAUAGAAAAAUAAUGAGAAUCAGGAUAAAAAGGAAUUAAACACUAUUUUAUGUUCCGUCACUAAUUCAAUUAAGAAAUAAAUAGAAUAUUAAGAACUAAA